rnacentral:rRNA from 1 species
GCGAACCGGGGGAACUGAAACAUCUAAGUACCCCGAGGAAAAGAAAUCAACCGAGAUUCCCCCAGUAGCGGCGAGCGAACGGGGAGGAGCCCAGAGCCUGAAUCAGCAUGUGUGUUAGUGGAAGCGUCUGGAAAGGCGCGCGAUACAGGGUGACAGCCCCGUACACAAAAGCGCAUGUGCUGUGAGCUCGAUGAGUAGGGCGGGACACGUGGUAUCCUGUCUGAAUAUGGGGGGACCAUCCUCCAAGGCUAAAUACUCCUGACUGACCGAUAGUGAACCAGUACCGUGAGGGAAAGGCGAAAAGAACCCCGGCGAGGGGAGUGAAAAAGAACCUGAAACCGUGUACGUACAAGCAGUGGGAGCCCCACCACCAAAGCAUUCUCUGGUGUUGAAGGCCCUGCAAAGCAGCAUCGCGGUGGCGGAGCGUCGUUUGCGACGCCCAACACACAAAACAAGCGGUGAGUGCUUUGGGGUGGGGUGA